ensembl:snRNA U7 U7 small nuclear RNA
UAGUGUUACAGCUCUUUUAGAAUUUGUCUAGCAGGUUUUCCGGUCCUCAUGGGGAAACGCCCCG